rnacentral:misc_RNA from 1 species
CUCUAAUGAAUGUUCAUCAAUCCACGCUUUGAAGACAUAACCAAAAUUACCUUCAGCCAAUAAAUAAUAUGGACAGAAGUUUCUUGUUGCUGUUUUCAGUUCACUAAAGCAAAAUCUCCUCAAAUUGGGUGACUGCAGGAUCUCACCCUUUGUCUGGGGAUCUAAAGGCACUGCCACAGAGGAGACCUCGCUACUUGACCUACUGGCAUCACUCCAAACAUUACCAGGAUAUGUUGGGUUCACCCCUACAUAGGACAUAUCUUGUAAAUUCAUCUCGACACGUACAAUGCUGAACUAGAAAUAAGCAAUGCAGGACAUUUUAAUAAAAAUAUAUCUCGUAUACAUGAAUAGAAAGUUACAUGAUAAAUAUCAGAGAACAAUUAUUAUAAAAAAAAAAUUGCAAAAGAAAUGUUUGUAUCAUAUAAUAUAUGUAUCUAUAUGUGCACACACAAUCCUAACAUCAUGUGGAGAGAUUAAAAGCCCAAUACAAGUUGUAUAUGAUGAUCUUUCUAGAUUGCCAAAGUUAUUGAUAAAUUCAUUGAGGGAAAAAGAAGAAUUUAGAUUAAAGAUGACAAUUCUUCAUGGUUAAAAAGGGCAUAUCUUGAUUGUUUCUGCAAUAAAAUGGCCCAUGUCAACCUUGCCAAAUUAAAGGAACAAUAUUAUUAGAGA